UACGAAGGUCCCGAGCGUUGUUCGGAAUCACUGGGCGUAAAGGGAGCGUAGGCGGCGUGGUAAGUCAGAUGUGAAAUCCCGGGGCUCAACCCCGGAACUGCAUCCGAUACUGCCGUGCUUGAGGGUUGGAGAGGUAGCUGGAAUUCUCGGUGUAGCAGUGAAAUGCGUGGAUAUCGAGAGGAACACUCGUGGCGAAGGCGAGCUACUGGACAACAUCUGACGCUGAGGCUCGAAGGCCAGGGGAGCAAAAGGG
rnacentral:rRNA from 1 species